UCUUAUGUACAUGCCUACAAAAUAACGUUAAUGCACUAGAUCCAUUAGAACUCCAUAGUUAAGCAUGCUUGGGCUAGAUUAGUAAUGGGAUGGGUGACUGCUUGGGAAGUCCUAGUGUUUUAAUUC
rnacentral:rRNA from 1 species